GAUGAACGCUGGCGGCGUGCCUAACACAUGCAAGUCGAACGAAAAGACCAUGAGCUUGCUGCUUGCACGUUAGCGGAGCACGUGAGUGACACGCGUGUAUCCCCUCCCUAUAUUACUGAUAAAACUUCGGGAAACGGGAGCUAAUACCAUAUAAUAUACUGAUGCACAUGGUGCAAUGGUGAAAUACGGCGUUUCGGUCACUUAUAGAUGGAUCCGAGCCGCAUUAGCUAGUCGUUGAGUUCACGGCCUACCAAGGCAACGAUGCGUAGGCGGCCUAAGAGGGUGAUAGGCCACACUGGAACUGGGACACGGUCCAGACUCCUACGGGAGGCAGCAGUAGGGAACCUUCGGCAAUGGGCGAAAGCCUGACGGAGCAACGCCGCGUGAGUGAUGAAGGUCUUCGGAUCGUAAAACUCUGUUAUUAGGGAAGAACAAAUGUGUAAGUAACUAUGCACGUCUUGACGGUACCUAAUCAGAAAGCCACGGCUAACUACGUG
rnacentral:rRNA from 1 species